rnacentral:RNase_P_RNA from 1 species
AAGGAAAGUGCCACAGAAACAUACCGCCCGCCUCCAAGGCGGGUAAGGGUGAAAAGGUGGUGUAAGAGACCACCGGCGGGCGGGCGACCGUCCGGCCAGGCAAACCCCACCCGGAGCAAGGCCAAAUAGGAGGAGGAUGACGUGGCCCGCGUACUCCUCGGGUUGGCUGCUAGAGGCGGCGGGGAACCGCCGUCCCAGAGAAAUGAUUGCCCUCGACAGAAUCCGGCUUACAGGCCUGCUUGCGUG